GGGCGGUCUAUAGGAUCUUCUUUUGGUUGUUAAUCAUGAAUCUAUAACAGGUUGUUCUAUAGGAUCCCCUGGGCGGUCUAUAGGACCCCGUAUUGUUUAAUAAUCGCAUAUUUGCUAUAGGGAAUUCUUUGGGAUCCCCGGGUCGGUCCAUAGGAUCCUCUGUUGUUUGUUCAACAUGUUUCUUCUAGAGGGUGUUCCAUAAAAUCCCAGGGUCGGUCUAUAGGAGCCCUGUAGUUUUUUCAUCAUGUAUCUAUUAGAGGGCGUUAUAUAUAUAUGCUCCCAUAGGCGUUCUUUAUGAUCCCUUGUGGUUUAAUAAUUGUGUAUCUGCUAUAGGGCGUUCUAAAGGAUCCCCGGGGCGGUCUAUAGGAUCCCCUGUUGUUUGUUCAUAAUGUAUCUAUAACAGGUUGUUCUAUACGAUCCCCUGGGCUGUCUAUAGGAUACCCUGUUGGUUGUUCAUCAUGUAUCUAUAACAGGUUGUUCUAUACGAUCCCCUUCUAUAAGUUUUUGUUUAAUAAUCGCGCAUAUUCUAUAGUGCGUUCUAUAGGAUCCCCGGGUCUGUCUAUAGGAUCCCCUAUUGUUUAUACCUUGGCGGUCUAUAUGAUCCCCUUUUGUUUAAUAAUCGCGCAUAUUCUAUAGUGCGUUCUAUAGGAUCCCUGUGUCUGUCUAUAGGAUCCCCUAUUGUUUAAUAACCUUGCAUCUGCUAUAGGGCGUUCUAUGUUAUCCCUUUCAAAGGUCGAGGGGGCAUAUUGUUAUUGGUUGUUUUUUUCUUUUUCUUUUCUUUUUCCCCAUAAUUUUAUUGUCCCGACAAAUUCUCGGAAAAGGAUAGACACAUUCAUCUUUAUGGAAUUAUGGCAUAAUGUAAACCAUUAUAUAAAGUUGUGCUUUUUAAUAAGGGGAUGGUCCAAGAUGGUCUCGAUUACUAUAAACACUGGUCAACAGUAUUUUUUUUAAUGUUUUUUGUAUAUAAUUCUAGUAUUCCUGAGCAUAGAACCAUGAUAUUCAAUAUACAAAGUAGGUGUCAACAAUUUGUAUGAUCC
rnacentral:lncRNA from 1 species